rnacentral:rRNA from 1 species
AGUGAACGCUGGCGGUAGGCCUAACACAUGCAAGUCGAACGGCAGCACAGGAGAGCUUGCUCUCUGGGUGGCGAGUGGCGGACGGGUGAGGAAUACAUCGGAAUCUACUCUGUCGUGGGGGAUAACGUAGGGAAACUUACGCUAAUACCGCAUACGACCUACGGGUGAAAGCAGGGGACCUUCGGGCCUUGCGCGAUUGAAUGAGCCGAUGUCGGAUUAGCUAGUUGGCGGGGUAAAGGCCCACCAAGGCGACGAUCCGUAGCUGGUCUGAGAGGAUGAUCAGCCACACUGGAACUGAGACACGGUCCAGACUCCUACGGGCGGCAGCAGUGGGGAAUAUUGGACAAUGGGCGCAAGACUGAUCCAGCCAUACCGCGUGGGUGAAGAAGGCCUUCGGGUUGUAAAGCCCUUUUGUUGGGAAAGAAAUCCAGCUGGCUAAUACCCGGUUGGGAUGACGGUACCCAAAGAAUAAGCACCGGCUAACUUCGUGCCAGCCGCCGCGGUAA